GGUUUCCAUCCUUUAGGAAGACCCUGGAACGUGCCAGUUGAUUCUGACAAUUUCUCAUGAACAGAAACACCUAGGAAGGGAGAACUGGAUUUAUUUAAUGGGGAUGUGUUCAAGGCAAGACCGAAUUCAGAAGGAUAUCGACGUCGUGAUCCAGAAGUCCAGAGCUGAGGACUGCCUGUUUGCAGGGCCCGCCUGGCAGGACGACUGAGCAAGUUCUUGGAAAACCAGAGAUAUUAGAGCGGUGAAUCGCGCUGGUCACGUUGGACACCUGCGCGUUAGGAGAUUCUGGAGCCAGAGGGAGAGACCCCAGAAACGCCCCGGUCGGCGACCCAGCCCGAGACGCCUGGGGUCCCAAGGGAAGCUGAACGCCCGGUGGGCUCCCGGGAUGGUUCUUCCGGUUCUUUGUGCCGCCUUCACCCAGUGAAGGAGCCUGUAUCCACCCUGCCCAGUCGCUGUUGGGCUGCUGCGGAGCUUCCGCUGCCAUCUUCGGAUCCUGUGUUCCGCCCGGGGCUCCACCAGGGCAGGGAUGGUGCAGAAUGGGGAAAUGGAGAGAGAACCUGAAAGAGCCCCAAACUCGAGGACCUAUUGCUCCCCAAGAAUAACAUCUUCCAGAACUAGACAGAAAACUAGGCGUCUGGGAACCCUGAAAUCCUUGGAGGAGUAGAUCAUCAUGACCCUCUGUGUUCCUUUUGGCAAAUGACUUGCUUCCAUUGUUUGUUUGUUCAAUUGUCUGUUUGUUAAAUAAAUAAAACCCUUUUUAUGUAUCUUUAAAAUUACAUUGGUUCUAUUAUUUUAUGAUUACAAACGAUGCUGCAGUCAUCAUUCUUGUACACUUCUCAUUGGCCACUGGUGUAUUUCUAUAGGGUGGAGGCCUGGAGAGCAGUUGUUCCAGCAUAGUGUUUACAUAGCUUUUAUUUAAUUCCGUUUUCUUUCCUUUGUUGCUUUAUUAGCUAUAACCCUUCUCUUAUUUCAGUGGCAGCUUUAGGGUUUCUGGGAUACAUCUUUAAUUUAUCACAUUCUGCUUUCAAGUGUAAUUAUACCUCCCUUUCUGGCCUUUAUCCUAGUGUUACGUAUUUUUACUUUAUGCAUUAUAAGUUUUGUGAUUAUCAUUACCUUCAUUUAUUAUGUCAAAUAUUUUUAAAAAGAUUUAAAUUAUAAGAAAAUGUGUAGUACAUGCUUUCUAAAUGCCAUUUCCAAUAUUUGUUUUUGUAUAGGUCCAGAUUUUUAUCUGGGAUCCUUUUGCUUCUGCCUGGAGGACUCUUAAGAUUUCUUGUAGCGUGGGUUGGUGAAUUCUUUUAGUUUUUGUAUGUUUUUCAAUGUCCUUAUUUCACUCACAGUUUUGAAAUUUUAUUUUUGCAUAGAAUUCUAGGUUAAUUUUUUUCUCUAGUACUUUAAAAAUGUUGCCAUUUAUGAAGCAUUGCCAUUUAAAGUAUCAUCUUUCAUGUGCUUGUGAAAAUGGCAUAAAGCCGGUUUCUUGUGCUGGUUAUGUAAUUUUCAGAAUGUGUAUUUAAAUUUAAAAUAUUAAAUUUUCCUAAAAAACUAAAAAUAUUAAUCAUGAAUGUCCUAGAUUCAUCUUAAAUUCCACCAACAGUGCACUUAAAAUGUGCCCAACCUGAGGGUCAAACCUACCUGCUGACAUGUAAUUUGUGUUUGUGAGACAUUCUCAACAGCAUUUGCUUUCCCCAGCUGAGUGAUCUUCCUCACAUCUGAAUGUCUUCAGUGCAAAAGGAAAUGUUUUUCUUCGCAAAAAUACUUUCAAAUACUCUUACUUCAAGGAAGUGCAUUAAAAACAAACUUCUCAUUUGCAUCCCUGGAAUUCAAAGCCCUAAUCAAGUGCUUCAGGAUCAAGAGCUAAACAGGGGAGGACAAAGCGUGGCUUCUUCACUAGGAGUCAAGCCAAAGUCAACUGGUUUGAUCGCCAACGUAGAUCGGAACUCGGUUCACCAGCGACCUGAGGACCCGGCCCAGAAGAGGGAGUGUCUCUUCAUGGUGCCUUCAGAUAGAAAAUCUCCUAGGAUUUCUUUCUUUCCCUUUGAUCUACUUCCAACUCUCCCUUUCUAUUUCUUCAAGACCUUUUUCGGAUCCCUACUGCGAAGGACCUAAGGGGCCGGUGCCCUUCCCCACUGGUCCCUCCCUGCCUGGUGUCUUAGGAGCCCAAGCUCACCUGGAACAUUACUGCCCGCCGGAGACAGCGAGAGGACCAAGGAGCGCGGCGGUGCGGUGGGAACCACAGCGUCACCGCUCACCUGCGCCUCGUGGGCUCCUAGAAAAUUGAAUAAAUGCCCCCUGAAGCUUCUCUGCAGGUCACACGGAAGAGGAGGGUGGCUGCCGACACGCGGGAGAAGCUUCAAGAAGCGUCGGGAGGACCUACCUGGUCCUGCCCCUGGGCCUUGAAGACAGGCCUGGCCAGGCUGAUUUGGUCCGGUAGUCUCAAAGAAAAUGUUCAAGGGUGGCCCAAACCUCCACCCCAAGAUUAAGGCUCUUAAAUGUCUGACGGUUUUGAGACUCGUCAGUAGAAUCAAUCCCGCCUGUAUCAGGAGACUCCUUUGCCAAAAUUCAAAGACCAAGAAAGAGAAAGAUUGGGCAGGUUAAAGUCUGUAAUUAACCAAACAGGAGACAGAAUUUUUCUGAGAAAUUGUAUGUGUGCUGUGAGAAAAAGACUAGCCUCAAGGAGAAUCUGUUCUUUUGGCUUAAUUGUAGGAAAGAAUGGAAUUGCCACCAACAAUGGUACGUUGAAACGGCAGGUGCAUCAGGCUGUAGAUGUGAAGGAAUUAAAAAUAUUUUACCCCAAAAUACAUUUCUUUGACAUAUUUUGAGAUGUCUGUUCAGAAAGCCAGCUGCAGAAGUAGCCCUGCAAAGUUGUCUUUCGUUGGGGAGAUUUGCAUCUGUAGGGAAUCUGCAUUGAUGCAGCCAAGUCUUUCCUUGCCCAGAUCUAGGAAAGAUUAACUGAGAGUCUGACAGCUGUAAAGGUCUGAAAGAAACUUUCAGAGCUUAUUCUUUCUGAGAGCUGCUGCCUGUAAGGUUUCAUUUACAUAUUAAGAUCACCUUUGCUAGCCAGGCCUCCUCUUCUCUCCCUCCCAUAACCUGUCUUGCCCACAAUAAAUGGAUAUACCUCUGACUCUAA
rnacentral:lncRNA from 1 species